rnacentral:rRNA from 1 species
CAGCCGCCGCGGUAAUACGAAGGGGGCUAGCGUUGUUCGGAAUUACUGGGCGUAAAGCGCACGUAGGCGGAUAUUUAAGUCAGGGGUGAAAUCCCAGAGCUCAACUCUGGAACUGCCUUUGAUACUGGGUAUCUUGAGUAUGGAAGAGGUGAGUGGAAUUCCGAGUGUAGAGGUGAAAUUCGUAGAUAUUCGGAGGAACACCAGCGGCGAAGGCGGCUCACUGGUCCAUUACUGACGCUGAGGUGCGAAAGCGUGGGGAGCAAACAGGAUUAGAUACCCCGGUAGUCCCUGUCUCUUAUAC